UGGCAAGGUUAAGCGUCUCAAGACGCGGAGCCGCAGCGAAAGCGAGUCUGAACAGGGCGCACAGUCAGGGGGGGUAGACGCGAAACUUUGUGAUCUACCCUUGGGCAGGAUGAAGUUGCGGUAACACGCAAUGGAGGUCCGAACCAGUUUCCGUUGAAAAGGAUUUGGAUGACCUGAGGGUAGGGGUGAAAGGCCAAUCAAACUGAGAAAUAGCUCGUACUCCCCGAAAUGCCUUUAGGGGCAGCGUCGAGGUUGAGUCUCGUGGAGGUAGAGCUACCGAUAGGACUAGGGGGAGUCAAAUCCUACCGAAUCCUGACGAACUCCGAAUGCCACGUGACAUACUCGGCAGUGAGGCUUGGGGUGCUAAGGUCCCAAGCCGAGAGGGAAAGAACCCAGACCAUCAGCUAAGGUCCCUAAAUCUAUGCUAAGUUGAACAAAGGAGGUCCAGUUGCCCAGACAGCCAGGAUGUUGGCUUGGAAGCAGCCAUUCAUUUAAAGAGUGCGUAACAGCUCACUGGUCGAGCGACAGGGCAUCGAUAAUAAUCGGGCAUCAAGCAUAGUACCGAAGCUAUGGAUUGUAUUUAUAAUACAGUGGUAGGGGAGCAUUCCCGUCUGCGUAGAAGGUACCUGGUAAUGGGUAUUGGAGCGUCGGGAAAAGCAAAUGUAGGCAUAAGUAACGAUAAUGCGGGCGAGAAACCCGCACACCGAAAGACUAAGGUUUCCUGAUCAACGCUAAUCGGAUCAGGGUUAGUCGGGUCCUAAGGCUGACGCGAAGGCUAAGGUCGAUGGACAACUGGUUAAUAUUCCAGUACUAGCGUAACCCAGUGAUGCGGUGACGGAGUAGUGAAAGGCCCGCCUGGUGACGGAAUACCAGGUUAAAGCACGUAGUUAUAGAGACGGUAGUCAAGUACGCCGACUUUGAUGAAAUGCGAUAGUACCCCAAGCCCCCGGGCGAGGGGAUAGCGGCCCUAAUCAGACUUCCAAGAAAACCCGCUAAGCGUUUAAGGUUACGCUACCCGUACCGCAAUCCGACACAGGUAGUCGAGGAGAGAAUCCUAAGGUGCUCGAGUGAAUCACGGCCAAGGAACUCGGCAAAAUGGCCCUGUAACUUCGGGAGAAGGGGCGCUUCCUCCAGCGAUGGAGAAGCCGCAGUGAAGAGGCCCAGGCGACUGUUUAACAAAAACACAUGGCUAUGCGAAAUCGAAAGAUGAGGUAUAUGGCCUGACACCUGCCCGGUGCCGGAAGGUUAAGAGGGGAUGUUAGCCGCAAGGCGAGGCAUUGAAUCGAAGCCCCGGUAAACGGCGGCCGUAACUAUAACGGUCCUAAGGUAGCGAAAUUCCUUGUCGGGUAAGUUCCGACCUGCACGAAUGGUGUAACGAUCUGGGCGCUGUCUCAGCCGUGAGCUCGGUGAAAUUGUAGUCUCGGUGAAGAUGCCGAGUACCCGCUACGGGACGGAAAGACCCCGUGCACCUUUACUAUAGCUUAACAUUGACUCUGGGCAACUCAUGUGUAGGAUAGGUGGGAGCCUCUGAUCCGGCGUCGCUAGGCGUCGGUUAGGCAACGUUGAAAUACCACCCUUGAGUUGUUUGGAGCCUAAUCCCUGAGCGGGAGACAUUGUUUGGUGGGUAGUUUGACUGGGGUGGUCGCCUCCAAAAGAGUAACGGAGGCUUUCAAAGGUACCCUCAGCACGCUUGGUAACCGUGCGCAGAGCGCAAUAGCAGAAGGGUGCUUGACUGUGAGGCCCACAAGCCGAGCAGGGCCGAAAGGCGGAUAUAGUGAUCCGGUGGUUCCGCAUGGAAGGGCCAUCGCUCAAAGGAUAAAAGGUACGCCGGGGAUAACAGGCUGAUCUCCCCCAAGAGCUCAUAUCGACGGGGAGGUUUGGCACCUCGAUGUCGGCUCGUCACGUCCUGGGGCUGGAGAAGGUCCCAAGGGUUGAGCUGUUCGCUCAUUAAAGUGGCACGCGAGCUGGGUUCAGAACGUCGUGAGACAGUUCGGUCCCUAUCUGUAGUGGGCGUUGGAUUUUUGAGGGGACCUGUCCUUAGUACGAGAGGACCGGGAUGGACGAGCCUCUGGUGGACCUGUUGUGGCGCCAGCCGCAGCGCAGGGUAGCUACGCUCGGAUGAGAUAAGCGCUGAAAGCAUCUAAGUGCGAAACUCACCCCAAGAUGAGAAAUCCCUUUAAGGGCCGUGGGAGACGACCACGUCGAUAGGCGGCAGGUGUAAAGGCGGAAACGUCAUAGCCGAGCCGUACUAAUUGCCCGAGAGCUUUCCCGCC
rfam:Rufibacter sp. DG31D, complete genome.